UUGCUUUGGCAGCACAUAUACAAAAACUGGAACAAUACAGAGAAGAGUAGCAUGACCCCUUUCACAAGGAUGACAUGCAAAUUUAUGAAGUUUUCCAUAUUUUG